UACAGAGGGGGCAAGCGUUAUUCGGAAUUACUGGGCGUAAAGGGCGCGUAGGCGGCCUGCUAAGUCGAACGUGAAAUCCCUGGGCUCAACCCAGGAACUGCGUCCGAUACUGGUUGGCUUGAAUCCGGGAGAGGGAUGUGGAAUUCCAGGUGUAGCGGUGAAAUGCGUAGAUAUCUGGAGGAACACCGGUGGCGAAGGCGACAUCCUGGACCGGUAUUGACGCUGAGGCGCGAAAGCCAGGGGAGCAAACGGGG
rnacentral:rRNA from 1 species